rnacentral:rRNA from 1 species
ACGGAGGGUGCGAGCGUUGUCCGGAUUUAUUGGGUUUAAAGGGUGCGUAGGCGGCCUGUUAAGUCGGCGGUGAAAGUCUGUGGCUCAACCAUGGAACUGCCGUUGAUACUGGCAGGCUUGAGUGCCGGUGGGGUACAUGGAAUUGGUGGUGUAGCGGUGAAAUGCAUAGAUACCAUCAGGAACACCGAUAGCGUAGGCAUUGUACUUACCGGCAACUGACGCUGAGGCACGAAAGCGCGGGUAUCGAACAGGA